rnacentral:rRNA from 1 species
CCUACGGGAGGCUGCAGUUUCGAAUCAUUCACAAUGGGCGAAAGCCUGAUGGUGCGACGCCGCGUGAGGGAUGAAGGUCUUCGGAUUGUAAACCUCUGUCACUGGGGAAGAAACGCUUUGAGUUAAUAGUUCAAAGCCUGACUUAACCCGGAGAGGAAGCAGUGGCUAACUCUGUGCCAGCAGCCGCGGUAAUACAGAGACUGCAAGCGUUAUUCGGAUUCAGUAGGCGGCAAUGGGUCUGAGGCGGCCGAUCCCGGAGCUUAACUCCGGAACUGCGCCUCAAACUACACGGCUAGAGCAUUGGAGAGGGAAGUGGAAUUCACGGUGUAGCAGUGAAAUGCGUAGAUAUCGUGAGGAACACCAGUGGCGAAGGCGACUUCCUGGACAAUUGCUGACGCUCAGGCACGAAAGCGUGGGGAGCAAAAGGGAUUAGAUACCCGAGUAGUC